AGUAAAUAGAUACCCUGGUAGUCCCAGCCGUAAACGAUGCUCGCUAGGUGUCAGGCAUGGCGCGACCGUGUCUGGUGCCGCAGGGGAAGCCGUGAAGCGAGCCACCUGGGAAGUACGGCCGCAAGGCUGAAACUUAAAGGAAUUGGCGGGGUAGCACAACAACGGGUGGAGCCUGCGGUUUAAUUGGACUCAACGCCGGACAACUCACCGGGGGUCGGACAGCAAUAUGUAGGCCAGGCUGAAGACCUUGCCUGAAUCGCUGAGAGGAGGUGCAUGGCCGUCGCCAGUUCGUACUGUGAAGCAUCCUGUUAAGUCAGGCAACGAGCGAGACCCGGUGCCCACUGUUACCAGCAUAUUCUCCGGAAUGAUGGGUACUCUGUGGGGUACCGCCGAUGUU
rnacentral:rRNA from 1 species